UUCUUCUGUCAGUAUGGAGGAAUUCCUCGAGAUGAAGAGAGCCAGAGAUCAGUUGCUUGCAGAGAAAGCUGAAUUGGAGAUGAGUGUUGCUCGGAUUCAGAUGGCUAAUCAGGAGAUCAAAGUGAGGAUGGAGGAUCAGGAUAAGAAACAUGCCCUGGAAGCGAAGCGCUUUGAGAUGGAUACUGCUUACUAUGGGAAGAUCAGCCAAGCCUUAGCGUCAUCGACAAAGGAGCACGACAUCACUAAGGAGAAGCUAGCCAGAGCUUCAAAGGCCAUUGAGGAUGAGAAGAGAAGGCAAAUCCUCGUGAGGGAUUAGAGGGAAGAUAGAGUCAGAGUCCUCAUCACUGAGUGGGAGGCAAAGCUGAAGAUUAAGGAAACGGAGAAGGCAAAGAUCAUCGCUGAGAGAGAUCACUACAUUGCUGAGAGAGAUCAUUACUUCAGGCAGAUGAAGAUUCACCAGAAGGAGGUGGGGAGAUUACAACAGGAGAACACCGAGCUAAGGUUCGCCGUAGAGUUUGCGAAGAUGGCUGAUGAUAUAGGGCCUGCUGUGGGACCCUCAUCAGGGUAGACCUUUCUUAUUUGUGUGGAUUACCGUCAAGCCUGUUGACGGAAUUCACUUGCUUGUAUUUCCUUCCUGAUUCUGGAGAAUUGUAUUUGAUUUGUAUCAGCUUUGAUGUAUGACUAUGGCACUUAUUGUACACUUUUGAUAUGCAUGGUUGUUUUCAUUCA
rnacentral:lncRNA from 1 species